rnacentral:tRNA from 1 species
GGAAGCGUGGCAGAGCUGGUUUAAUGCACCGGUCUUGAAAACCGACGGGGAUUAACGUCCCCCGUGAGUUCGAAUCUCACCGCUUCCGCCA